UACAGAGGUCUCAAGCGUUGUUCGGAUUCAUUGGGCGUAAAGGGUGUGUAGGCGGUCUUCUAAGUUUGGUGUGAAAUCUCCCGGCUCAACUGGGAGGGUGCGCCGAAAACUGGGAGACUAGAGUGCGGGAUGGGAGAGUAGAAUUCCUGGUGUAGCGGUGAAAUGCGUAGAUAUCAGGAGGAAUACCGGUGGUGCAGACGGCUCUCUGGACCGCAACUGACGCUGAGACACGAAAGCGUGGGUAGCAAACAGG
rnacentral:rRNA from 1 species